rnacentral:rRNA from 1 species
GAUGAACGCUAGCGGGAGGCCUAACACAUGCAAGCCGAGCGGUAUUUGUUCUUCGGAACAGAGAGAGCGGCGCACGGGUGCGGAACACGUGUGCAACCUGCCUUUAUCUGGGGGAUAGCCUUUCGAAAGGAAGAUUAAUACCCCAUAAUAUAUUGAGUGGCAUCAUUUGAUAUUGAAAACUCCGGUGGAUAGAGAUGUGCCCGCGCAAGAUUAGAUAGUUGGUGAGGUAACGGCUCACCAAGUCAAUGAUCUUUAGGGGGCCUGAGAGGGUGAUCCCCCAAACUGGGAAUGGGAAACGGAACAGACUCCUACGGGAGGAAGAAGUGGGGAAAAUUGGAAAAUGGGUUAGGGCCGGAACCAGCAAGCCCGGGGGAAGGACGACGGCCCUAUGGGGUGAAAACUUCUUUGGAAAAGGGAAAAACCAACCUGGGGGGGAGUAGCUAAAGGGACUAAAGAAAAAAGCAACGGCAAACUCCGU